rnacentral:rRNA from 1 species
AGAGUUUGAUCAUGGCUCAGGAUGAACGCUAGCUACAGGCUUAACACAUGCAAGUCGAGGGGAAACGAUAUUGGAAGCUUGCUUCCGAUAGGCGUCGACCGGCGCACGGGUGAGUAACGCGUAUCCAACCUGCCCACCACUUGGGGAUAACCUUGCGAAAGUAAGACUAAUACCCAAUGAUAUCUCUAGAAGACAUCUGAAAGAGAUUAAAGAUUUAUCGGUGAUGGAUGGGGAUGCGUCUGAUUAGCUUGGUUGGCGGGGUAACCGGCCACCAAGGCGACGAUCAGGUAGGGGUUCUGGAGAGGUAACGGUCCCCCACAUUGGAACUGAGCACGGUCCAAACUCUACGGGAGCA